ensembl:lncRNA
UAGGUGCUGCAUGAACAGCUGCUGUAUCUGUGCACUACAAACAAUUAAUGAAGAAGGGUUGUCAUAAUUUACAUAAAAUGCUCUUUUAAUAAACUUAACAAGUUGUGAUGAUUGCUACGCUGUGUUUAGUAACCAAUCCCAAUAGUGGCGAUAGUGCAAACCUUGCUGCAAGUGCCAAUAGAUGUUACACAAUCUAUAAACGGAAAUCUCAAAUCUUUGGUGAUUGGAUAGAGAUGUUAAAUGUGCACCAGUUCAUGAUGAGGUCAAGCAUUUAUGACUGAGGAGGUUUGUUACACAGUAAACCUGCUGCUGCUCCUCCUAUGAAUGCUUCAGUCAUAUCAGACUCACGCUGCUGACUAGUACACAAAAGCUGGACAGCGUCAAGUCAUUCUGGGAUAGUAUCCUGAACUUUUGAGACACUGAAGAAGAUUCAAAGACAAUGCAAUUAGAUGAUGUGGAGUUAGAGAAACACGUGGAGACGUCAUCCCGUGAGAGCAGGACGGCCACAAACAGCCCAAAACUUCUAUCACACUCUAUUGAAGAACUACUGAAAAAACCUGUCCGACCUGACAGAACAGACAAGACACUUGAAACAUCUGGAUGUACACAGACCAAGAUAAAGACAGACGCUCCUAAAAUCAGUCCAUACACAGCUCGUCGGUCCGGUUGCAGACGGGUACGGACCACGUUCACCGUGAGCCAGCUGGAGGAGCUGGAGAGGGUUUUUCAGGGAACACACUAUCCUGACGUUCACACCAGAGACCAGCUCGCCUGUCGAACGCAGCUGUCUGAGGGAAGAGUUCAGGUACAAUACACUGUCUGCUGAAAACACAACACUUCUUGAUAAUCUUGUUUUCCAUGACCAGGGUACCAUUUCAUAAAAUAUGGGUAGUUUAAAUGUUAUUAUGCAGGAAUGUAAGUAAAAAUUGUAUAAUUAAUGAGCUGUAACUAAACACAGAUUAUUCCUAAUUUUAAUGUCUUUUAGUAAUUUUAGUAAUUAAUGAAUUUACAUAAAGGUACAAAUUUUGACAAAAUAAAAUAU